rnacentral:rRNA from 1 species
AGAGUUUGAUCCUGGCUCAGGAUGAACGCUGGCGGUAUGCUUAACACAUGCAAGUCGAACGGGAUGCUUAGGCAUCUAGUGGCGGACGGGUGAGUAACGCGUGAGAAUCUGGCUCCGGGUCGGGGAUAACAGUUGGAAACGACUGCUAAUACCGGAUGUGCCGAGAGGUGAAAGAUUUAUCGCCUGGAGAUGAGCUCGCGUCUGAUUAGCUAGUUGGCGGUGUAAGGGACCACCAAGGCAUCGAUCAGUAGCUGGUCUGAGAGGAUGAUCAGCCACACUGGGACCGAGACACGGCCCAGACUCCUACGGGAGGCAGCAGUGGGGAAUUUUCCGCAAUGGGCGAAAGCCUGACGGAGCAAUACCGCGUGAGGGAGGAAGGCUCUUGGGUCGUAAACCUCUUUUCUCAAGGAAGAAGAAAGUGACGGUACUUGAGGAAUAAGCAUCGGCUAACUCCGUGCCAGCAGCCGCGGUAAUACGGAGGAUGCAAGCGUUAUCCGGAAUGAUUGGGCGUAAAGGGUCUGCAGGUGGAACUGAAAGUCUGCUGUUAAAGAGUUUGGCUUAACCAAAUAAAAGCGGUGGAAACUACAGAACUAGAGUGCGGUAGGGGCAAAAGGAAUUCCUGGUGUAGCGGUGAAAUGCGUAGAUAUCAGGAAGAACACCGGUGGCGAAAGCGUUUUGCUAGACCGUAACUGACACUGAGGGACGAAAGCUAGGGGAGCGAAUGGGAUUAGAUACCCCAGUAGUCCUAGCCGUAAACGAUGGAUACUAGGCGUGGCUUGUAUCGACCCGAGCCGUGCCGGAGCUAACGCGUUAAGUAUCCCGCCUGGGGAGUACGCACGCAAGUGUGAAACUCAAAGGAAUUGACGGGGGCCCGCACAAGCGGUGGAGUAUGUGGUUUAAUUCGAUGCAACGCGAAGAACCUUACCAAGACUUGACAUCCUGCGAAUCCCGGUGAAAGCUGGGAGUGCCUUAGGGAGCGCAGAGACAGGUGGUGCAUGGCUGUCGUCAGCUCGUGUCGUGAGAUGUUGGGUUAAGUCCCGCAACGAGCGCAACCCUCGUUUUUAGUUGCCAGCAUUAAGUUGGGCACUCUAGAGAGACUGCCGGUGACAAACCGGAGGAAGGUGAGGAUGACGUCAAGUCAGCAUGCCCCUUACGUCUUGGGCUACACACGUACUACAAUGCUACGGACAGAGGGCAGCGAGCCAGGGAUGGCAAGCGAAUCCAGAAACCGUAGCUCAGUUCAGAUCGAAGGCUGCAACUCGCCUUCGUGAAGGAGGAAUCGCUAGUAGUUGCAGGUCAGCAUACUGCAGUGAAUUCGUUCCCGGGCCUUGUACACACCGCCCGUCACACCAUGGAAGUUGGUCACGCCCGAAGUCAUUACCCCAGCCGAAAGGAGGGGGAUGCCUAAGGUAGGACUGGUGACUGGGGUGAAGUCGUAACAAGGUAGCCGUACCGGAAGGUGUGGCUGGAUCACCUCCUUUUAGGGAGACCUACCCAUUGAAGAAUCGAAAGCGGAAAGCGAAUAGAGAAUCAAAUGGUCUACUCUAGGUCGGUCGAGAAUUGGUCAAGUCUCUUUCAAAGUAUUAUAUUUCCGGUGAUCACCAGCAACUAGGAAAGACCUAGACUGCUGGUGAUGAACCAGCCAGAACCUUGAAAACUGCAUAUAGAAAGAUAAGAGUAAGAGUAAGUGGUCAAGCUAAUAAGGGCUCAUGGUGGAUACCUAGGCACACAGAGGCGAAGA